UACGUAGGGGGCAAGCGUUGUUCGGAAUUACUGGGCGUAAAGCGUGCGCAGGCGGUUAUGCAAGACAGAUGUGAAAUCCCCGGGCUUAACCUGGGAACCGCAUUUGUGACUGCAUAGCUGGAGUACGGCAGAGGGGGAUGGAAUUCCGCGUGUAGCAGUGAAAUGCGUAGAUAUGCGGAGGAACACCGAUGGCGAAGGCAGUCCCCUGGGCCUGUACUGACGCUCAUGCACGAAAGCGUGGGGAGCAAACAGG
rnacentral:rRNA from 1 species